GUCGAGGGGUAACAGGAGUAGCUUGCUAUUUGCUGACGACCGGCGCACGGGUGCGUAACGCGUAUAGAAUCUACCUUAUACUGGGGGAUAGCCUUUGGAAACGAAGAUUAAUACCCCAUAGUAUUAUUUUUUGGCAUCAUUAAAUAAUUAAAGUUUCGGCGGUAUAAGAUGACUAUGCGUUCUAUUAGUUAGUUGGUAAGGUAACGGCUUACCAAGACUUCGAUAGAUAGGGGUCCUGAGAGGGAGAUCCCCCACACUGGUACUGAGACACGGACCAGACUCCUACGGGAGGCAGCAGUGAGGAAUAUUGGACAAUGGAGGCAACUCUGAUCCAGCCAUGCCGCGUGUAGGAAGACUGCCCUAUGGGUUGUAAACUACUUUUAUAUGGGAAGAAUAAGAUCUACGUGUAGAUUGAUGACGGUACCAUAAGAAUAAGCACCGGCUAACUCCGUGCCAGCAGCCGCGGUAAUACGGAGGGUGCAAGCGUUAUCCGGAAUCAUUGGGUUUAAAGGGUCCGUAGGCGGGCAUAUAAGUCAGUGGUGAAAGUCUGUGGCUUAACCAUAGAAUUGCCAUUGAUACUGUAUGUCUUGAAUUAUUGUGAAGUGGUUAGAAUAUGUANUGUAGCGGUGAAAUGCUUAGAGAUUACAUAGAAUACCGAUUGCGAAGGCAGAUCACUAACAAUAUAUUGACGCUGAUGGACGAAAGCGUAGGUAGCGAACAGGAUUAGAUACCCUGGUAGUCUACGCCGUAAACGAUGGAUACUAGUUGUUUGGUUUUCGGACUGAGUGACUAAGCGAAAGUGAUAAGUAUCCCACCUGGGGAGUACGUUCGCAAGAAUGAAACUCAAAGGAAUUGACGGGGGCCCGCACAAGCGGUGGAGCAUGUGGUUUAAUUCGAUGAUACGCGAGGAACCUUACCAGGGCUUAAAUGUAGUCUGACAGCUUUAGAGAUAGAGUUUUCUUCGGACAGAUUACAAGGUGCUGCAUGGUUGUCGUCAGCUCGUGCCGUGAGGUGUCAGGUUAAGUCCUAUAACGAGCGCAACCCCUGUGGUUAGUUGCCAGCGAGUAAUGUCGGGAACUCUAGCCAGACUGCCGGUGCAAACCGUGAGGAAGGUGGGGAUGACGUCAAAUCAUCACGGCCCUUACGUCCUGGGCCACACACGUGCUACAAUGGUAGGGACAGAGAGCAGCCACUUAGCGAUAAGGAGCGAAUCUAUAAACCCUAUCUCAGUUCGGAUUGGAGUCUGCAACUCGACUCCAUGAAGCUGGAAUCGCUAGUAAUCGGAUAUCAGCCAUGAUCCGGUGAAUACGUUCCCGGGCCUUGUACACACCGCCCGUCAAGCCA
rnacentral:rRNA from 1 species